rnacentral:rRNA from 1 species
GUAGGCGGUCAAGUAAGCAAAGUGUGAAAGGAUGUGGCUCAACCACAUGUCCAUGCUUUGUACUGCUUUGACUAGAGAAUGGAAGAGGUUGCUAGAAUUCCUGGUGUAGGGGUGAAAUCCGUAGAUAUCAGGAGGAAUACCAAUGGCGUAGGCAGGCAACUGGUCCAUUUCUGACGCUCAGGCACGAAAGCGUGGGUAGCGAUCGGGAUUAGAUACCCCGGUAGUCCACGCCGUAAACGAUGGAUGCUAGCUGUAGAGGGUAUCGACCCCCCCUGUAGCAAAGCUAACGCGUUAAGCAUCCCGCCUGUGGAGUACGAGCGCAAGCUUAAAACAUAAAGGAAUUGACGGGGACCCGCACAAGCGGUGGAGCGUGUUGUUUAAUUCGAUGCAAAGCGAAGAACCUUACCCAGGUUUGACAUCCUGCGAAGGUCUGCGAAAGCAGACUGUGCCUUUUGGAAUGCAGUGACAGGUGAUGCAUGGCCGUCGUCAGCUCGUGUCGUGAGAUGUUUGGUUAAGUCCAUCAACGAGCGCAACCCCUAUAGUUAGUUGGAUUUUUCUAGCUAGACUGCCCUGGUAACGGGGAGGAAGGAGGGGACGAUGUCAGGUCAGUAUUUCCCUUACAUCUGGGGCUACAAACACGCUACAAUGGCCGGUACAAAGGGCAGCUAAGUCGCGAGACGGAGCAAAUCCCAUCAAAGCCGGUCUCAGUUCGGAUUGCAGGCUGAAACUCGCCUGCAUGAAGUCGGAAUCGCUAGUAACGGUAGGUCAGCACACUACCGUGAAUACGUUCCCGGGUCUUGUACACACCGCCCGUCAAGCCACGAAAGUCGUCAAUACCUGACGUGCCAGCUAGUCUGGUCCUAAGGUAGGGGUGAUGAUUGGGGUU